UCCCUGGUGGCCUAGUGGCUAAGGCUUCAGUGCUGUCGCCCCUGUGGUGCAGGUUUGAUCCCUGGCCCGGGAA
rnacentral:tRNA from 1 species